AACCUAGCACACCUGCGGUGUGUACCUGCGGAAGGAUCAUUACACAAUAAACAUAUGAAGGCUGCACCGCCAACAGGCGGCAAGGCUGGAGUAUUUUAUUACCCUUGUCUUUUGCGCACUUGUUGUUUCCUGGGCGGGUUCGCCCGCCUCCAGGACCACAUGAUAAACCUUUUUUAUGCAGUUGCAAUCAGCGUCAGUACAACAAAUGUAAAUCAUUUACAACUUUUAACAACGGAUCUC
rnacentral:misc_RNA from 1 species